rnacentral:lncRNA from 1 species
ACACAUAUACCUUCUACAUUUCUGUCCAAUAAGCUUGUUUUCUGAAUCAAGAUGAGUAUUAGAACUCUGCGACAAAAAAUUUAUUUCUCCUCUAGUUGGUAGAAGAAACUGGCUUGUUUCAUGAUGUAUUUGAUAAAUCAAAAUCGGCCAUUAUCUUGCUGCUGCUACACUUGAUUAUAUGAAAUUUUACCUUCUACAAUUCAAACAAUAUAUUUUUCACACAUUCAAUUCUGAUAAUUAAUAUUAAACCAAAAUGAUAGCCCUAGAAGGCUAGAAUCAUGACAUACCUUCCUUGCACAUGGGUCGGCGUAGCAGAUAGGCGAGAGGGAAUACCAGGUUUCCUGCAAAGGUUUCUUCACUAGGGCAAUGAGGAUUCUCACUCAGGCUUCCUCGCCUAUUUGCUCAUGGAGAAUGUGGGGCCAGAGUGCCCUAGGCAUAAUCCAGAUGGAAUCGAUAAUGUAUCAAUCAGUCUUUUCUGCAAGUCACAAGAUGUAACCUCAUCAGCCUCUAGGGCCUAGAUCUGCCGCCCAUCUAAACUAGCACGUGGUAGGCACACAAAAAAAAGGAGUAGAUGAUAACACGUUGGUAGCGAACAUAACUGCUAAAAACAUCUGCCUUCAUUCACUCUACUUGCCUACCGGCAUGAUCUCUAGUACGAUGUGAGCCUUGAGGCUUCCAAUGCUAAAAUUUGGAACUGAAAACUUGGAACUUUUCGGUAGUUUCAGAGUUGAUCUGCUCCCUGUUGACUCUGUUGUUCUGAUGAAGUGAGGUGCUUGGUUGCAACCUCGGCCUGGCUCCCCCACCCGACAUGCCUUGCUCCCUGGUACAAGGGGGGAAAUGAAGACAUUAUAUCGCAGUAACAAAGAAGUGUGCAGGGAAGAAUUGCUUGAUUACUUAUAAGGUAGAGUUUCAUGGCCAAAAUAAGUUGGUGGCAGCAUAAUGAGCAGACUCACCAGUCUCAUCUACACCCUGAUAGAGGGCAAAAGAAGAUACACAAACAUCACAAAAGGGACGGAAAUUCACCAAAACAACCGGGUCUGUCUAACGGAUUGAGAAAAGAAGAGAGAUUUACUGGCGCACCAACAUGAACCAUACAGUGAGAAAGAUUCAAUCUUUAUCGGCCAGACAAACGAGGAGACACUCGUGGGGUGGGAAAAAACCUAAAUAAGUAGUAGAUUCAGGAGAUUGAGACAAAGGCCGAGGAAAUUUGCAAGAUCCAGCAGGCGAAUUGCAGUCCGUGGGGGAGGCCAGGAAAUUCACUCACCAAUCACAACAGGCAAAUUCAUCAUCUGCUAAGAUUGAGGAGCAAGACAAAUUGACACCCAUCACAACUCCGUAGACCGAGAUGUGGCCAAAGGAGAUGUCCAUGGCGGCUUAGGGUUGGUGCGGAUGGCCAAAGGAGAUGUGCAUGGCGGCUAGGGUUGGUGCGGAUGGGGACUCAGCAACAGGGAGGGGAAAACACAAGAAGAAAC